rnacentral:misc_RNA from 1 species
GAUGAAGAACGUAGCGAAAUGCGAUAAGUAAUGUGAAUUGCAGAAUUCAGUGAAUCAUCGAAUCUUUGAACGCACAUUGCGCCCGCCAGUAUUCCGGGGGGCAUGCCUGUCCGAGCGUCAUUGCUGCCCUCAAGCACGGCUUGUGUGUUGGGCCUCCGUCCUCCUCCCGGGGGACGGGCCCGAAAGGCAGCGGCGGCACCGCGUCCGGUCCUCGAGCGUAUGGGGCUUCGUCACCCGCUCUUGUAGGCCCGGCCGGCGCUUGCCGACACAUCAAUCUUUUUUCCAGGUUGACCUCGGAUCAGGUAGGGAUACCCGCUGAACUUAAGCAUAUCAAUAAGCGGAGGA